rnacentral:lncRNA from 1 species
CAAAUUUGAUUUCCCAUUACAAAAAAAACGUCGCAGAAAUAAACUUUCAUGUUCACUUCUAAAGCAAUUAAUAUAUAUUCCAGCUGAACCGUAAUUACUUAAUUAGUCUCACAAAGAAAAAGUAAAAAAUAUAUUUUACGUGAUUUUAUCAUAACAGUUUUGAGAAUCACUACUUUGUACACCCAGAAAUAAGGAUAAAUCUUACACUCAACCUAUCCAAAAGUUUAGAC